rnacentral:rRNA from 1 species
ACUGAACGCUGGCGGCAUGCUUUACACAUGCAAGUCGAACGGUAACAGGGAGCUUGCUCCGCUGACGAGUGGCGAACGGGUGAGUAAUGCGUCGGAACGUGCCGAGUAGUGGGGGAUAACGCAUCGAAAGGUGUGCUAAUACCGCAUACGUACUGAGGUAGAAAGUGGGGGACCUUCGGGCCUCACGCUAUUCGAGCGGCCGACGUCUGAUUAGCUAGUUGGUGAGGUAAAGGCUCACCAAGGCGACGAUCAGUAGCGGGUCUGAGAGGAUGAGCCGCCACACUGGGACGGAGACACGGCCCAGACUCCUACGGGAGGCAGCAGUGGGGAAUUUUGGACAAUGGGCGCAAGCCUGAUCCAGCCAUGCCGCGUGUCUGAAGAAGGCCUUCGGGUUGUAAAGGACUUUUGUCCGGGAGCAAAUGCCUGGUGUUAAUAGCAUCGGGAGCUGAGAGUACCGGAAGAAUAAGCACCGGCUAACUACGUGCCAGCCGCCGCGGUAAUAC